UUGUUUCAGAUUUUAACCACAAUAAUCUGUAGUAAUUAACUUUUGUCCUUCAAAUUCCUGUUUCAGAUUUUAACCACAAUAAUCUGUAGUAAUUAACUUUUGUCCUUCAAAUUUCUGUUUCAGAUUUUAACCACAAUAAUAAUUUGUAGUAAUUGACUUUUGCCUUCAAAUUUCAACAUAUGUCUUCCCCGAUUGUAUACUCCCACUGAUAACGCUUUUCAUAUGUUUCUCUAAAAUCUUUGAACUUCAUCCUUAUUCCUUUCCGACUGCCUUCCUUUGACAUUUACGACUUCUUUUCCUCCAGGAAUUUUGGGUUUGAAUUCCAUCUUUUAUGAGUCAUAAGAUAUUUCAAAUCCAUUGUGUAUAUCUGGUUCUUUAAAUGACUACUUAUUUCCUUUUUAUAUGUCUGUUAAUUUAUUAGUUCAAUUGACUUUUUGUUGUGAAGAAUACGAAGAUGCAGCGAAUUUAAUUCCACCGGAGAUGUCGUCGUCUACUGUUUGGAGUUUUAUUUUUGACAGUGGAACUUUGCAUGGGCGGUGGAUGUGCUGGAGAAUUUUAAUUCAUGUGAAGCAAAAUCGGGGAACCAACAUAAUGGUGACUGCGAUGGAGCAAUAGACAACCAUAGGACCAACAAUCAUAUCUAUGUAGAAUUUCCAACAACAAAAUUAAUUUACUGUCACUAAAUAAAGGCGUCCAACUCGCAUGGAAGAACAUACACAAAUUAUUGAAGAAUGAUGGUCCAUCGCCAUUUUCUUAAGGUUCGUUUGCAUAUCUAUUAUCUAAUUCUUAUUUUUCUGAUCCAAAUAUAUACACAUACAAAUGCUCUUUAACAGCGUAUUGAGGGCUAUUUUUGUCAUUUUGUAUAGGGUGAUCAGCUUGUGCUUAUUGAAAUGCUGUAGCGGGUUCUUUAACAGCAUAUCUAUUAUCUAAUUCUUAGUUUUCUGAUCCAAAUAUAUACACAUACAAUGUUCUUUGACAACAUAUUGAGGGUUAUUUUUGUCAUUUUGUAUAGGGUGAUGAGGUUGUGCUUAUUGAAAUGCUAUACCGGGUUGAGUCCAAUUUAAAUUCGACUUCAAGAUAGUUGUUAUUACACAUGGACGCCACGGAUGCUUCAAAUGACAAAAUGUUUCUUAGUUCUGCCACUCUAUCGAUCAUCAACUUUUCCCAAGUGUCGUUAUCUGUUCAACGACUUUAUUCCACAUUCAAAAAUCAUUAAAUAUUAUUUCAAAAUAUAUGUUACUCUCAAUUGAAAACUUUAGUACAUUUGGUCAACAUCUUUUUUAAUGGAUUCGUGAAGUAAAAGAUUAAUGACUAUUAUCACCCAGUGGAAUCUUGCUGUGACACCAUCAAAUAAUUUUCUUUGAAUUUGUCGAUCUAAUUUGUAAAUUCCUUGAAUUCAGUUAUGAACAAAAGUUUCAUUUUAGAGUUUAAAAAAAUAAAAGGAGUGAUUUCUUGAUAAAAAGGAACAACAAAAGAAGUGAUUUCUUGAUCAAAAGCUUUAGUUAUGAAUGAAACAUUACUAUAAUAUUUACUUAUGAACGAAAUUUUACUAUAAUAUUUACUUAUUUUGUCGUUUCAUAUUGAACUUAAUUAGGAUCUUUUUCGUUUGAUAGACUCGAAUGAGAAAGGAGUGAGUCGUUAAUAUGUUUAGUUAGAUUUCUGAAAAAAAAAUCUGAGUUAUAAUGCUGAAAUUUUUUUUACUGAUUUUUGGUCAUACAAGCUACUGUAUAUCCAUUUAACAGUGUUUAGGAACCAAAUGCCUACUGUUUUAUAAUUUUUAUUAUAUGUGACAUUACAUACUAUUUAUUGUGUUUAAUGUCAAGUUUUAUGUUUGGUUUUCUGAUUAUUCAGAUGCCGCAGAGAGUUAGGAAUGCUAGAUGGAGGAUGAGCAAAUCGGUGUUAUGGGAACUUAUCCCACAUGGACAAAAAGUGAGACUUGUGGUGCUCUUAUUGUUUUUUCUAUAAUGAAAUUGGUUGGGAAACUCCAAGAUGGAACUCCGUUUGUGAAUAAAGGACACAGUAAGACACCACUUCAGUUCAAUAUAGAUGAAGGUGAGUAUCAUUUUGGUGUUUAAAAAGAAAAAUGAAAAACACGAGCUAACAAUGACAUGGUGUUGUUUUUCUUUAAUGAUACAACAAGUUAUUGUUGGACUUGAUAGAAGUCUGAAGAAAGGUGAAGUUGCAGUGUUAACUAUUCAUCCAGAGUAUGCAUUUGGUUUAACUGAAUCACAUCAAGAAUCAUCAAUUGUUCCAGCAAUACCAACAUGUAUUAUGAUGUUGACUUGAUUUCAUUUGGAAAUGUAUGAAAAUUGAAAUUUUUUGAUCUCUU